UGCUUGUAGCAUAGUCAUUUUGUGAAUGUUGCUCGUGCUUCUGACAUUAUAUGUGGGUUUGUAUGCUAUAUAAAAUAGGUGUGUACCUACAUUAUAUCAAUUGGAAUGUAUUGUCUCUAGCUCAGCUCAGUAAGAUACCGUAGCAGUUCGUUAGCGUAGCCGUUUGUUAGCAAAGCGGCUAGCAGCAUCCUUCGACUCAGCGGGAGAGUGCGGUAUUUUAGGUGUUGCGUCAGCUCACACUGGUUGUUUUUAAACUGUGGAAUAUUCAGUGAUUAAAUUGCAAUGUUUUGCCAUUAGCUUAGCUUAGUAAGCUAUCGUAACUUAGCGGGUAGUUAGCGUAACGGCUAGUUAGCCGCCAUUGUUCUCUGACUCGGCCAGAGAGUGAUGUGUUGUAACUUAGGGGAGAGGGGUGUCGAACGGAGCAUUUUUUCAUAUUUCCCUCUCUGCACAGAGAUGCAUUUAUUUAUAGUAACAACAUUUAAUAGUGAACAACAUACAUAUGUCCUCUACAAAUCCCGACCAUGUUUGCAAAGUUUGGAUGAAUGAGUCGCACUCAAUCUAGCAGGAAACGAAGCUCAUCUGCCUCCGCAUGCAGGAAUGAACAGAUCCAUGUUAUAAUUAACUGCAAAACACGUAAAUAACUUCAUAUUACUGGUGUGUAACACUCAUUAAUGCUUAAGCUGAGUCCUCUGGGAAAUGAGAAUGUCCAAUUGAAAUAAUCUUCUCAUGUUUAAUGUCUGAAAAUGAAUUACAUUUGUCCAGUGCUCUGUGAUAUAGCCUACUGUGUUUAAGAAAGCAUGUUCCAAUGUAAUUAAAGCUUUAUGUGUUUGUGAACAUAAUUGAUUUAAUAAUACAAGUAGACAGUAUUUGAAGAAGAAGUUAGAAUGCAGUGUGGUCGUGAAACUGUUUGGCCUUGUCAAUCAAAAAAGUGUAUCAGUUGUGUGUGUGUGUGUGUGUGUGUGUGUUUGUGUCAGCUGCUGUAAAUGUCAAAUCAUUAGUAAAUUAUCAGUUUGAUUUUAAUAUGCUUAAUAACUGGGUCUUUAAUACUUUUAGAUGCCCCGUGGCAAGUCCUACCGCUGCUCUGAGGCAGCUAAGUUGCUGGUGCAUGUAUGUGGCGUGCCUUCUUGAAAUCAACUUUUCACGUAUAUCCUUCUGUAUGACUGAGUUAAACUCCUAACUUUGUGUAUUUUUAUAGUCUUGAAAAGUUCACAUAUUGUAUUGAAGUGCUUGAACUUUGAAUUUGGUCUCUUUUUUUUUUUUAAAACCAUUUUAUGUUCAUCAACAGCUUGUGGCACAGGGUGGUGCUACAAAGUGCACAAACGGUCAAUUUCUGAGCACACUGGGCGCCAGCAUAAAUUGGUCAUUCCAGAUGAGGUCCCAAGCAAGAAGGUAUGUACAAUUCAUGAAGAUUUCACUGAUGAUUAGAAGUUUUAGUUGUGUGUUUUCAGCCUAAAAGAAAUCCUGUCUUUUGUUCCAGUUUGUUCUUCUUGUAGGGGCGUCCCAUCUGCACUCCCUUGCAGAUGGGAUUGUGCUGAUGCCAGAGGAUUGCUACACCUUUGGCGUCAUGUCCACUCCAGGGGCGUGAACUGACAAGCUCAGGACUGAGGAUGAAAAUGCUGAUCUUCCUCGGAUCUCUGAUGCUGUCUGUGUCAUGGCCCCUAGAAACAACCUGAAAGCCAGCAAGACGCCUAAGCAAGGAGGCAUAGCUUUUGGCCAAUACCUGGCCACUGUCUGCAGCGUCUGGCCGACUGCACAGGUCUUCGCUGGGACCUUGUCCCAUGCUUGACAGUCCCGGGGGAUAUCCAAGAGUUUUUCCGGCAUGAAUUUCACCGCGUGUCAACACGUCUUGGUGUGAAAUAUUUUCACCAAGCUGACCGCUUCCCCCUAAACAACCGCAAGCUGUGGUGCUGUGAUGGUGUGCACCCCAGUGACGACAUGGGGAUGCCUAUCCUCGUGGAGUCGCUGUUGGCUGCCACCAAACAGCACCUGGAGAUACCAGCACCUAAGCCACAGGUGUCGCGCCCGGUGUCUCCCAAGCCUCUGCCAAAGGUGGUUCCACGUGUGAUUGUGGUGGGGGAGGUAAGAGGAACCACUCUGAACAUGAGCAUGGCUCUGGUUCAUCACAGAGAUGAGUGGUUCAUCAUGUGGUAUGUUUAACCAUGAUAUUUACAUAACAGUGAUAGUUUGUGUGCUUUAUCUAAGAAAAUGACAAGUGUUAGAAAUAAUCUACAUGUCUGUCAGGUGGAUGGAGCUCCAGUGGCCUUGCGAGAGUGUUUCAUUCAUAUUGUAUAUGGAUUACGCUCGUGUAAUAUCACAUAGGAUUAUGCUUGCGCGGGUCCUAGUCCUUUUUUUUUUUUGUUAACCAACUGGUCUUUUUGUGCAUGUUGGGGUAGUUCCUAGGGGGUAGUCUAGCUGUUCUUAAGUGCAUUCACAAGACACCCGAAGAAGCCCAUAGAGAUACUGUUUGUGUGUCACUAAGGAUAGUCAGGUGUCUGGUUAUGACAAGUUCGAAGAGACAACUCCGUAGUUCUGGUUGGAGGAGGGUUCCUUGGGGGUAGUCUAGCUGUUCUUUUAAGUGCAUUCAAUGGCACAAGACAUGUUCCUGAUCAAAUAUGUAAUGUAAUUAAUGUAUGUAAUAAUUUGCAAUAAAAUUGUAUGAUAUUUUA